AAUAUCGAAUUUAAACCCCCGUUUUCCUAUCCUGAACAUCCCUACUCCGCUACCACUUGCUACCAACCGUCAAUGUCAUCGAGCGAACAGCUGACUGUCACCCACCGAGAGGGAGAUAAAACUGCCGGUCAUCCCAGAAUCGGCCUCUAUUAGUGAACGGAUAAGUUAGUCGAGUGAAAGUGGAAAAAGGUCCCGAUUGUGACUGUUAGUGAGUGAACGGAAUCAUCGCCAUUGUGCCAUCCCGUCGCCCCAUUAUCGGUCGGUCAAACGAUAGCGGCCCGCCACCCCCUAUUUCAUCCCGAGACAACAGUUCCGGAUUUACCACUGUCGUGUGGACGGCCAGGAGAGAAGCCAGAGCUAGAGAAUCCCGAGACGGUUCCCCGCCGACGUGUGAGGCAUCAUCCAUUCACCACCAAACGUUACCAGGAAGGACGGAAGAGCAUGCCGAUGGGGUCCCGACGAUUCCGAUCCCGGACAGUCGAGGGAAGCCGACUUCCUGCCAGCUGCUAGAGUGCCCACAGCCAACGGUAUGUGAGUAAACUCCUUUCCUUUGCUUUCCUUUCCUUGAGUUACUCCCCCCCCCCUUCCUUGCUAUGAUGAAUCAAGAAAUUAAUAAUAGAAUGAUGUAAAGUUAAA